rnacentral:rRNA from 1 species
UACGUAGGGCGCAAGCGUUAUCCGGAAUUAUUGGGCGUAAAGAGCUCGUAGGCGGUUUGUCGCGUCUGCCGUGAAAGUCCGGGGCUCAACUCCGGAUCUGCGGUGGGUACGGGCAGACUAGAGUGAUGUAGGGGAGACUGGAAUUCCUGGUGUAGCGGUGAAAUGCGCAGAUAUCAGGAGGAACACCGGUGGCGAAGGCGGUUCUCGUGGGCCGGAUACUGACGCUGGAGGAGCGAAAGCGUGGGGAGCGAACAGG